rnacentral:rRNA from 1 species
GUGGAGGGUCAUUGGAAACUGGAGGACUUGAGUACAGAAGAGGAGAGUGGAAUUCCACGUGUAGCGGUGAAAUGCGUAGAGAUGUGGAGGAACACCAGUGGCGAAGGCGACUCUCUGGUCUGUAACUGACGCUGAGGCGCGAAAGCGUGGGGAGCGAACAGGAUUAGAUACCCUGGUAGUCCACGCCGUAAACGAUGAGUGCUAGGUGUUAGGGGGUUUCCGCCCCUUAGUGCUGAAGUUAACGCAUUAAGCACUCCGCCUGGGGAGUACGGCCGCAAGGCUGAAACUCAAAAGAAUUGACGGGGGCCCGCACAAGCGGUGGAGCAUGUGGUUUAAUUCGACGCAACGCGAAGAACCUUACCAGGUCUUGACAUCCUCUGCAAUCGGUAGAGAUACCGAGUUCCCUUCGGGGACAGAGUGACAGGUGGUGCAUGGUUGUCGUCAGCUCGUGUCGUGAGAUGUUGGGUUAAGUCCCGCAACGAGCGCAACCCUUGAUCUUAGUUGCCAGCAUUUAGUUGGGCACUCUAAGGUGACUGCCGGUGACAAACCGGAGGAAGGUGGGGAUGACGUCAAAUCAUCAUGCCCCUUAUGACCUGGGCUACACACGUGCUACAAUGGAUGGAACAAAGGGAAGCAAAACCGCGAGGUCAAGCAAAUCCCAUAAAACCAUUCUCAGUUCGGAUUGCAGGCUGCAACUCGCCUGCAUGAAGCCGGAAUCGCUAGUAAUCGCGGAUCAGCAUGCCGCGGUGAAUACGUUCCCGGGCCUUGUACACACCGCCCGUCACACCACGAGAGUUGGUAACACCCGAAGUCGGUGAG